rnacentral:misc_RNA from 1 species
AACGCACCUUGCGCCCUCUGGCUAUUCCAGAGGGCAUGCCUGUUUGAGUAUCAUGAACACCUCAACUCUCAUGGUUUUGCCGUGAUGAGCUUGGACUUUGGGGGUCUUGCCGGCCUGCGGUCGGCUCCUCUCAAAUGAAUCAGCUUGCCAGUGUUUGGUGGCAUCACAGGUGUGAUAACUAUCUACGCUUGUGGUUUUCCACCAGGUAACCUUCAGCAAUGAAGGUUCGCUGGAGCUCAUAAAUGUCUCUCCUCAGCGAGGACAGCUUCUUGAACGUUUGAUCUCAAAUCAGGUAGGGCUACCCGCUGAACUUAA